rnacentral:misc_RNA from 1 species
AACCUAGCACACCUGCGGUGUGUACCUGCGGAGGGAUCAUUAACCGUUACAAACAGUGUGUGCUGCGGCCCCCGAGGUGAGGCAACGAGCCUUCGGGAGGUCUGGGGUCCGCCCCUUCACGCGCACGCGUCUGCCAUCCUUACUUUACGAGCACCUUCUGUUCUCCCUCGGCAUGCGUCCUGCGCUGCCGUUGGAAUUACAAAACUCUUUUUUGCAUCUAGCAUUACCUGUUCCGACAAU